GACGAACGCUGGCGGCGUGCUUAACACAUGCAAGUCGAACGGAAAGGCCCUGCUUUUGUGGGGUGCUCGAGUGGCGAACGGGUGAGUAACACGUGAGUAACCUGCCCUUGACUUUGGGAUAACUUCAGGAAACUGGGGCUAAUACCGGAUAGGAGCUCCUGCUGCAUGGUGGGGGUUGGAAAGUUUCGGCGGUUGGGGAUGGACUCGCGGCUUAUCAGCUUGUUGGUGGGGUAGUGGCUUACCAAGGCUGUGACGGGUAGCCGGCCUGAGAGGGUGACCGGCCACAUGGGGACUGAGAUACGGCCCAGACUCCUACGGGAGGCAGCAGUGGGGAACAUUGCACAAUGGGCGCAAGCCUGAUGCAGCAACGCCGCGUGCGGGAUGACGGCCUGCGGGUUGUAAACCGCUUUCGCCUGUGACGAAGCGGGAGUGACGGUAAUGGGUAAAGAAGCACCGGCUAACUACGUG
rnacentral:rRNA from 1 species